rnacentral:rRNA from 1 species
UGGGGAAUAUUGCACAAUGGGCGCAAGCUUGAUGCAGCCAUGCGCGGGUAUGAAGAAGGCCUUCGGGUUGUAAAGUACUUUCAGCGGGGAGGAAGGCGAUAAGGUUAAUAACCUUGUCGAUUGACGUUACCCGCAGAAGAAGCACCGGCUAACUCCGUGCCAGCAGCCGCGGUAAUACGGAGGGUGCAAGCGUUAAUCGGAAUUACUGGGCGUAAAGCGCAAGCGGGCGGUCUGUCAAGUCGGAUGUGAAAUCCCCGGGCUCAACCUGGGAACUGCAUUCGAAACUGGCAGGCUAGAGUCUUGUAGAGGGGGGUAGAAUUCCAGGGGUAGCGGUGAAAUGCGUAGAGAUCUGGAGGAAUACCGGUGGCGAAGGCGGNCCCCUGGACAAAGACUGACGCUCAGGUGCGAAAGCNGGGGGNGCAAACAGGAUUAGAUACCCUGGNAGUCCACGCCGUAAACGAUGUCGACUUGNAGGUUNUGCCCUUGAGGCGNGGNUNCCGGNGCUAACNCGUUAAGCGACCGCCUGGGNNNNNCGGCCG